GAUCCCAUCUAUCGUUUCCACCGCCGCCGCCGCGAAAAAACUCCAUCGAUCCUCAUCCUUGCUUGCCCACUCCCAUCGAUCGUUGCCACCGCCGCCGCCGCCGUCCGAGGGGGAGACGUCGCCGCCGCCGUCCGAGGGGGAGACGUCGCCGCCGCCGCUGCAAGGUAUGGCGGUUUGAAUCCCGCCCCGCCUCUGCAAGGCAGGGCGGUUUCAAUCCCACCGCCGCCGAACUCCGGGAAUCGCCGCCGCCAAGUCUCCAGGGCAGGGCGGUUUCAAACCCUGCCGACGAACUCCGGGAUACGCAUAAUCGUCGUUGCCGCCCCCUCCCCCGGCUGCCCCAUGGUCUUCUAUCUCUCCCAACUCCGCUGUCGCGCCCCGUCUUCCGUCUCUGCAUGAAUCGCUGUUGUGGCAGCCACUCCCCAUGGCGGCCAUCCGGGCACACCGUGUCCGGGAUGAUGGAGGUGAUGUCGGCCAGUUCCCUGUUUCCGUUGGCAUCUUCUGCGAUGGGACCCGUGGGGGCAGGUCGCGCGCUGCUCAUCUAUGUCGAUGGCGUCGGCGUCGUCCUUCCCCUGCAAAGCAUGGCGGCUCCUUGGCUGGAUCACAGUGAUGAUACAGUUGGCUCGGCGGCGGCUAGGGAUCUCGCAGGCUGGCGUUUAUUUGAUGUCUGGGUGUUCCAAUCGUGAUGGAACGGACGUAUAAUGUACGGUAUAAGAAUUUGGACGAGGCUCAUCUGCGUGGAUGGUUGUGGCUUGGCCGCCGGGCACACAAUCCAUUGAUUCACACAUAAGACCGUAGCCAUCUACACCAAGGCUCCUCUGCCCUACCGAGUCUUGCAAGCGAUCGUCGUAAGAAAUAUUCCGUGUGAUGCCGGCAUGUGUUGUUGUUGCACUGUCGCAACCAUCCAUCUACACACCAAAUGUCAAAACCGAGUCGCGGUGUUCACAAUGCUGGGCAUUAUUUAUAUCGAAGGACGAGGAGGAAGAUUUGGAUGACCGUAACCACAAUGGCAAGGGCAGCAACAUGGUCGUCACCUACAAUGCCGAUGGGUGCUGACAUUAUGAUGUUUGGUUUAUUUGUUGAAAGUUACAGCCCAUGUUUCAUGAUUUAUUUGCCACCGGUUAAUCAUGAUAUUUUGAAGUGCUCUGACAAUUGCUUGCUGUCUGCAUCUCUUACUUUUCAACUUGCUGCAUAUACAGAUAUACACCAUUAUAAUCUGUUUGUACAAUAUAUUUACUUAUUCAACAUGCUUCAGUUAUGCUUCUUUGAAAAUCCAGUUGUAGAUUGCAGUGAAGCCCCAUUUAGAUCUUGGCUAUAGUAUUAUUCUUGUCUUAUGACUCGUGACAGAUUGAUAUGUGAUACCAUGACAUAGCAUAUGUGGUACCGUGGUAGUCACAUUUGGUGGUAGUUCUGAUUGUUUGCUAGAUUACGAGAUAAGACCAAGUGCUUCUGCAACUCGGUUGCGGUUUUGAUAGGAACAUGAAGACUUGUGCCAUGCCAUGGAGCAUGUUUGAUUAAAAGGACAUAGUUGCUCCAAUAUAUUGAGCAGGGAAGAAGUUUGUUACAAGUGUUUUAUAGAGUUGACGCCAGAGACAUCCAACGGGAUACAUUGGUGAAGGAAUCGAUGAAGAAGCUUCCGUUCAGCAUGGUAUCUCAAUGGAAGAAUAUCCGAAGCAAACCUCCGCUACUUCUCUGUUCCCUUUCAUUUGUCGUGGGAAGACCUUAGGAAGUUUCGUGUUUCAAUGACGCGUGGAGGACGACGGUCACGAGCGCAUUGUCGCAAGCUCACAGGAGGGAGGCACACAUCUCAUCCAAUAUAAAAGCAUGCUCCGAAGAAUCCCUAACCCUCCAUGGAGCCAUUGCUAGGGGGCGACGAGAUCAACGCCACCCAUCACGACCACCGAGAUGUAGAAGGGCUUCGUGACUGAGCUGGCGAAUAAAAUGUCAGUGGUGGAAACGGACAUGUUAUAGAAGAUGUUGAGGGUGGCACCGGAGUUAAUGGCCAAAUGGGGUUCCUCGGCACCGAAAAGAAGGAUGCUGCAGCGACACGUACUGGGUUCCAUUUCCAACCAGAGAAGAACUUAUGAAUGGUAUGUGCGCGAUCUAUUCAUUCUUUCGUUUGAUCCUUAUUCCCCUCAACUCAGAUUCAUUUUAUUUUGUACUUAUGCAUGAUUUUGAUGGAUCAAUAAAUUUAGUGGCAUUAAUUGCAAUGUGAAAUAUCAUAUAUCCAUAAACUUCACAUUGUUGUUGCUACGAGUCUGCUGGUCAGCUACUUCCAGUUAUCCUCAUCGAGAGUUGAUUGUCGGAUUUCACCAAGAAAUAAAAACAGAGGAAAACCCGCCGGUCUUACUACCGAUAGCAUCAAACAAGAAUAUGGGCACUAGAAAGGAGACGAUCCUAUCCACUAUCACAAUGAAACAAGAGAAACAAUUCCUUGCAGUCAUCUAUAAGGUCAGCAUGUUGGGGCUUGGUUGAUUCAUUUAUAUUGCUAUUUCUAUCCACACGUAAAAGCAUCUACGUAUCCACAAUUAAUUUGCUUACCCAUGUGAGUUUGGGGAUAUUUUUUCUCUUGUUAGGAUGCAUGUCAGAUUUAAAUUCUCUGAUAUCUAUGUAUGUAGUGUAAUUUUUAUUUUGUAAAAACCUACUAUCAGUCCACGCAUGAAGGUGCACUUAAUUUCUUAGUAUUUCUACGUGCAUUAUCUCUCUUGAAUUUACUUAGUAAUAGUGUUUUGUUAUUUGGGUCUGAAGAUACCAAUAUUGCAAAAAGUAAAUAAUUUGGGAGGAAAGUGAUUUGAACUUUAUACUGUUAAGGACAAUAAACCAAAUUGAUUUGUAUAGAGGCGUGAAUAAUCAAACCGAAAAAGGGGAGUUGAUUAGUAAGAGACAUCUAGGAUGUUUCAUAUUCUGCCGAAAAGCUCAAUAUAAAUAUGUGUAGAUGUGUUAAAAUUUGUUAACUGAAUUUCUGGUAAUAUAAUUAGUACUACUCCCUCUGUUUCUAAAUAUAAGUCUUUUUUAGAUAUUCCACUGCGGACUACAUACGAAGCAAAAUGAGUGAAUCUACACUCUAAAAUAUGUCUAUAUACAUUCGUAUGUUGUUUGUAUUGAAAUCCAUAGAAAGACUUAUAUUUAGAACGGAGGGAGUAUAUGUUAUGGUGGAUAAAAAUUCUUUUAAAUACACUAUAUAUACUGUGUACUAAAUGGUGGAAUCAUUGGCCGCCUGCCGGCCUCAACUGACAUAGAGAGGGAGAACACCCUAGAUCGGAUGCUCGCGCAUUUGCGCCUCACCAAGGUUCACUGCCUCGCAUGCUUCCUAGGCCGAACUGAGAUGCCGUCUCGAGCCACUGCAUUCUCGAAAAAAAAUCUCAGAUGCCAUUGUUCCAUUGACCUGAUUCUGAUUGUUUUGUAGACUAAAAUCGUGUUUUGAAAUUAUAUUCAUCAAGUGAGAGACACUUUCCAAUGUGCUAAGAUGUGCAGCUCAACAUCAUAGGAUUGUCACAUCUUGAAUUCUGGUUCUUAGAGCUUUGGUUUCUAAGUUCUAACCCUUAUUUGCUUGUCUUGUCUUUUGUUUUACGGGUUUCAAGCUUCAGCACAAAUCUUCUGUAGGAAAUCUUGUACUCAUAGUGUAGAAAAAUGCCGUUUUUGUGAAAUGUCACAGGAGCUACAUUACUAACAUUGUUGUAAUGUUUGUAUGGUAGCCUAUUCUUUAAUCCGUUCAAUUACAGAGUUUAUGAUUAUGUAAAUGGAGUAUGGGAUCUGAGAAGAAGAAAAAGUUGCAUCCGAUUCAAGGAAGAUAAUGGACAAGUGCAUUGGUAUGAACAGGUCGUCGACUUUGACAGAAAAUGCAUACAGAUUAUCAGUUUUCCUGCUGAGUUGUACUAUUAUGCUACAGAAUACACAUCAGCUAUUAUGCUACAGAAUACGCAUAAUUAGUUACAGAUCAGUAGGCUACUCAUCUGGUUAGUUUUCUCAAGUCAUUUCUUCUGUGUGUAUAUAUGUUAUUUUCCUUUUUACACUAACAAGAGUUUCGUGCUUUCUGGUAUGGUGUGGUGCUCCCCCCUUCAUUUAGUGAGUUCUUCCUUAAUGGAGGAUAUGGUAUAGGUAAUAGUGAGUGGUGUUCUAGCUUAUGCACUAUUUCCCCCUGGCCCGAGUUCCACACCAUAACAUGCUGCCGCCCCGGCUGCCGCGUCUGCCACGGCGCCGACGCCUCCCUGGCUCGCGGGACAUCCCCUCUAUAUAUUGUAACAGACUCGCAUGAAUACAAUUGAGUUGCAUCCUAUAAUCUUCUACAUGCAUCAUCUGGUUUUAAUGGACAGGUUCCAGCAAAAAAUGUCACGCUAUAAGGAAAGCGAGUGGGAAGGGUGUGUUGUAGGGUGGAAUUCUUGUGUUGGAACAACGUGUUGGAGAUAACAUGGUGAAUAGUCCGUACAACUACAUUUAUUCCCCACAUAUGAGUUGGAUUUGGGGGAGCCCAGACGGUUGAAUUUGGGGAGUCUGCUGGGCACCCAUUUGAACACGGCCGAACGUAUGAGGGAGAAAUGAGCUUCGACUUGUUUAAUAUUGUACAAAAAAUAUUUGCUGCUAAUAAUGAGACAAGUUCUGAUUUGUAAAUGCAAUAUUCUUCCAUGUAUACAGAAUUACAGAUUGAAUGAAAUAUAAGCCAAAGUUGAAUCUCAAGCCUUAAUUUACACUAAAAAAAUAAUAUAGGUUUGAUAUAUGUGUAGAAUAGGAUAUUUUCCCUUGAGAAUCUACUAGAUGAGGUGGUCAUUAUCGACAUCCUUGUGAAAGUUCGCAUGAUCUUAGCACGAACCAACUCACAAUGCUAUCUCGAGCAAUGCUUUAUUCACUUAAGUAUCUUUUUUUAGGAAAACACUAGGUUAAAAGCCUACUGCAAAAAAUUAGAUGCAAAGUUAUUGUAAUUGCCAUUUAUGAUCACGAACGAUCUUACCGAAUGACUGUUCUCAUGGCCUUCAAAGAAGAGAUAUACUAGAAGUUGAGCGCAGUUGGAGGGGCCUUAGUCCUUCCGAGCCAAGAAAAAUAGAUGGCGCCUGUCCAAGCUAUUAGUAGAUGGGAAAAUGUUAAAAUAUUUUGUGUUGCCAUGGUUCUUAAUGGUUAGGUAUGUGUCGCAACCUGUAUGGUUUCAAGUGCCUAAUUUCAUGUGUAAUGGUUUGCCAGGGAAUUGCAAAAUGCAAUCAAGUGUCUGGUUGUAGAAUCGUGGAAUAAGGGAACAAAAUCCUGCAUGUGUUCUCUUUAAUUAAUAGAUAAUAAAAAUAGAUAUGUUUUCAUGGGAUGAUUGGUCUUAAGCAUAAAAAGGCAUCCAUGUGCCACCUAUCAUUUGUAAUGCACAAUAACGAGUUCUAUGUUUUUGUACCACUUUCUUUAUUUUCUGCGUUAGAUCUGAUAGUAUAUGUUAGUGAAUUACAUUUUUAUCGAAAUAGAUUACAAGUGAAGAGAAUUUCAAUUAUUUUUUGUAUGUUAUUGGCUAUCUUUUGUAUACGUGUGACAUUUGAUAUGCAAUCAGUAACAAACCAAUCCACAAUGAAUAGGAAGACAUAGUAAUUUUAAGAAUAACCCAGUAUCAACAAAAGAAUGUUCUUAAUUUUUUUAAGGCCCGUGGCAACGCACGGGCACUCUACUAGUUAUUUUAGUUCUUGGCAUGUUUAUCUUUCUCUCCCCACGCCUUGGUAAUUCCCUAUUUGGAACGUAUAGACAGUGGGGGGCCGUCACUAAGAGAUAACAUCUCUCCCUUUUAGCAUCUCAAACAUGACAUUUUAUUCAUUUAGACCUUGUGUGUUUACACUUGAGCUAUUGAGAUUGAUUCUCAAUUAGGUUGGUGCACAGGUUCAUUCUCAGGUUGCUUACUUCUGCAAUAGGGAGACCAGCAGCCCCCCUGCAUUCUAUUUUGCAAUCGCAAUUGUAAGAAUUAGUGAUGCUUCCGUUUGAUACAUAGUUAUUCUUUUUUUUUCUGGGUACCUCUAAAUUUCAUUUUCCAUAGUCAAUAAAUUACCCAUGGCCAGUACCUUUAAUAACAUGAAUGUGAAUUUUGUAAGCUAGCUAGGCCAUACCUACACUUCCCAUCUGAGUCAUACGAGUUGGGCAAACUUUAUGUUUAGAUAUGUACUGCACUAUUUGAUAUAGAUAAUGAUAUUCUUUAUGCUGCACAAGGUUUGGCUGCUUUUAUUGCCUGCUAAUCAUGAUUGGUGAUUAUAGUACGACACUGAUGCUGAUUUAUUAAUUUUUUGUUAAGAGUUUGUAUCAUGUGCCUUUCCGUUCUUACAGAGAAACGACAAUGGUGCCAAUAUCAAAUAAGAAUUAUGAUACUUUAGAUGCCGAUAGUGCCAUCUACGUCCUCUGCUUUAUCACCCGAGGAGCUCUGCAUCCACUACUUAUUAACUGGCAGUGAUAUUUCUUUGCUAUUCCUACAAUAUAGAUAAAUGAUAUUGUCACUACUAUUUUAGUUUUUCCUUUUCCCGAAAUGAUACCUUUCAGUUCACUAUUCUGCAGUGCUAGAUUGCAGUCCUUAUCCGUAUUUUGUUACAAUAUUUUUUUCUUUAAUAGAAAGCAAGCUGGGGAGUGAAUAAGUCCAUGGCAAAAGCAGCAAUGCAACCACAAGGAAGCUGAGGAGAUGGAGGUGGAUUAUAAUGCUUUGGCGAUAAUAACACCAACCUUACAACCAUAUCAUUUACAAAUAACUCUGACAAGUGACAAUCCUCAACCACCUGUCAUCGUGGAAUUGCAUCAGAGAACCUGUUGUGUUGAGCUUGGACGGUGCUGACCGCUAGCUUGCCUUGCAAGAGGAUGCUCCCCUGCUCCGAGUCCAUGACAAGGCAUUCUGCGCAUUGGGGGAAAAUGAUGAAGCUUUGGUUGCUUGGGACAGUAUUAGUAAUGUCCAUGUUGUUUGACAAUCAACGAUGAACUUUAUUAUAAAGAUUACACAGUGCAUUGGGUGGACAAGCUCAACACUUCUUCUGCAGGCUACCCUGACAAUGAUUGUUUCGCUGUCGACUGUGUGUGGUUUCAGCAUCGUUUCAUGCUACUACAGGAUCAGAGUCGUUGUAGACUGGGAGGCAAUAAAAACUAUCAGGCCCGUUCGUGCUGUGUUGGGUUUGGCCCAGUUACAAGACAGAGGCAGAGGAGAUGGAUAUAAGAAGUCGAUAAGACACCCUUCUCUCUGUUUCUAAAUUACAGAGUACCUCGCCUGGAUCCAGAGGUGCAGUUAUGGUGAACCCGACAUAGUCAAGGGUAGGAAAGAACCAUGGAAAGGAGAAAGUUGACUCUGAGAUGUGCGAGCAGUAGAUAAAGACUUCCUGGUAGAGGCCCAGAGGAUAAGAUUGUGCUGUGAACCAUGCCUUUGUGAGAGGACCAAUACAAGAGGACCACAUGUCCAGUAUCCACCCUAAAAGUGUGGAGUGCAUCCGCCCUGAAUAGCUACACUGGUCUCCACCCGUUCAAUGCUGCAUCGUUUGCUUGCUUCCUUUGCUCGGUUCAGGAGCCAGACGGGGAGAAGGCCAGACCAGUGACAAGAACCUCGGGGUGUUGCGUCAUGGUUGUAUACAUGCAUGUGUUGAAAGCAUUGAGCUUAAUUUGGAUAUGUAGGUGCAAUUCCUUUUCGUGUAUAAGAUAAUGGGUUUAUAUAUAGAUUGCCCAUGA